rnacentral:rRNA from 1 species
GUACGGGGGGGCAAGCGUUGUUCGGAAUUACUGGGCGUAAAGGGCUCGUAGGCGGCCAACUAAGUCAGACGUGAAAUCCCUCGGCUUAACCGGGGAACUGCGUCUGAUACUGGAUGGCUUGAAUCCGGGAGAGGGAUGCGGAAUUCCAGGUGUAGCGGUGAAAUGCGUAGAUAUCAGGAGGAACACCGGUGGCGAAAAGCGCUCAUCUGGCCCAAUACUGACGCUGAGGCGCGAAAGCUAGGGGAGCAAACGGG